UUUCCUGUGGAUUAGUCAGUAGAGCAUUGCGCUAGCAACACAAAGGUCAUGGGUUCUAUCCCUUAGGGAAAG